GGGAUUGUAGUUCAAUCGGCAGGAAACCCGCCCCGCAAGCGGAGGGUUGCCGAUUCGAGUUCGGCCGAUUCCGUCA
rnacentral:tRNA from 1 species